AUGUAAAUACAUAUUAGAUUCCCAUUGUGAGCUAACAGAAUGCCCCAUGGUGGAGAAUUUAAGAAGGUUACAGCAGAGCCCUGAACUCAGAGGACUCAAAGGUCAGAGCAAGAAGUCAACAAAAUGCUCACAGGCACUCAACCACCUCAGGCACUCAACCACCUCCCUCUUCCUUAACAUCUAUGAUGGUCCUUGGAGGAAUGGUUUCUUGAGGAAUGAGUAGUUUUCCAGGUGGACAAGAUGUAGAGCGUAGUCCAGGAGGGAUCAGAGAGGACAACAAGGAAUUCCCCCUGGACACUUCUUGAACCCCUCCACAGUGACUGGACUUUGAACCAUGCAGUUCAUGAGGUAGUACAUGGACCUCUCUUCAGGUGAUUUCAGAAAGUCAUAGCUUACCCAAGAUGGCAUCCUAAAGGCAGACCAGAAAUAUAAAGCUGCAAAGAAAUGAAAUAUAGACUUUUCCAGGUUUAACCAGCAAUGAACUAAAUCAAGAGGACUCAAUUGUAUUUCUGAUGUCUUGGGUCAAAUAACUUUCUUCUUUUCUUUCAAAAUCCUGAAAUCUGAUAAAAAAAUAUUAAAUGGAAUAUAUUGGCAUUAA